rnacentral:rRNA from 1 species
UACGUAGGGUGCAGGCGUUAAUCGGAAUUACUGGGCGUAAAGCGUGCGCAGGCGGUCUAUUAAGACAGGUGUGAAAUCCCCGGGCUUAACCUGGGAACUGCGCUUGUAACUGAUAGGCUGGAGUGUGGCAGAGGGGGGUGGAAUUCCAGGUGUAGCAGUGAAAUGCGUAGAUAUCUGGAGGAACACCGAUGGCGAAGGCAGCCCCCUGGGCUAACACUGACGCUCAUGCACGAAAGCGUGGGGAGCAAACAGG